rnacentral:misc_RNA from 1 species
AUCACCUUCACUCUUGCACUCUUCUUCUUCUUCCUCCUUGUCCUCUGAACUCUACACCAUUUUCCACCUGAGUUGCUUUUUCAAGCCUGAGAUUUCAAGACGCUUCCAUGUAAGUCUCUCGAGCACAACUCUACGCAAAUCUACUAGAAGAUCCCUUAUGACACAAAAUGUAUCACACAGUAGUACUAGCACUACCGCAAUAGAUAAUAGAUGGACCCUUCACACGAAAGCAGCUCUUGUUACUGGUGGUACUCGCGGAAUCGGGCGUGCGAUUGUGGAGGAAUUGGUG